GAUGAGUUUGAUCGUGGCUCAGGAUGAACGCUGGCGGCGUGCUUAACACAUGCAAGUCGAACGAUGAAGCCCAGCUUGCUGGGUGGAUUAGUGGCGAACGGGUGAGUAACACGUGAGUAACCUGCCCUUGACUCUAGGAUAAGCCCGGGAAACUGGGUCUAAUACUGGAUAGGAACGUCUACCGCAUGGUGGAUGUUGGAAAGAAUUUCGGUCAUGGAUGGACUCGCGGCCUAUCAGCUUGUUGGUGAGGUAAUGGCUCACCAAGGCGACGACGGGUAGCCGGCCUGAGAGGGUGACCGGCCACACUGGGACUGAGACACGGCCCAGACUCCUACGGGAGGCAGCAGUGGGGAAUAUUGCACAAUGGGCGAAAGCCUGAUGCAGCGACGCCGCGUGAGGGAUGACGGCCUUCGGGUUGUAAACCUCUUUCAGUAGGGAAGAAGCGAAAGUGAC
rnacentral:rRNA from 1 species